rnacentral:misc_RNA from 1 species
GAACGCACCUUGCACCCUUUGGUAUUCCGGAGAGUAUGCCUGUUUGAGGGUCUGUUAAAUAAAAAUCGGGGUUGUUGCUGCUUUUUGUGGUGACGCUUCGGAAUUGGGUAGUCUUACCUUCGGGUUUAAGUGACCUAAAAUUUUUACAUGAUUUUUCGAACGUAUUUAAAUCUUUUACGUACGUUUGGUUAUAUCGAAUAUAUUAGGUGUGGUCAUCCUCAUGAUUCACGUCUAUAAUUUUUUUCAUUUUUAGACCUCAAAUCAGGUAAGAACACCCGCUGAACUUAAG